rnacentral:lncRNA from 1 species
CAAUAGGGUCUUGCUGAUGGCCAAUCCUCGAGCAGGACUUAAUUCCUGGUCAGCAAUGGGGUAAAGGUCUUGCUGGUGGCUAGUGUUGGGACUGGAGUCACUGGGAUGAGUGCUUCCUGUGAUGCACAUGAGACAUCACUUGCCUAGGAGGCUGCUGAUUUGGAAAAAGAUUGAAUUACUCUCAAUGGUAAGAGGAUGAGUCUCCCAUUUAUUCAUACCUCUCUACAGGACCUCAUACACCCUAGACAGAGUCACAAUCAAGAAAUCCAGUGGAAAACAACAGUAAAUUACUUCUCUCCCAGAACUGUAUAAAAAUCAUUGUCCACAGGCAAUGGGAAAGAGGACUUCUCCAACCAAGUUAGCAUUUUCCAGCCAACAAGAGAUUGACAGAUUGCAAUAUUCUAUAUCUGGGAGUAAGAACAAAAAUUAUCCUGAGAAAACCCUAGGAUGAGGAAGCUGUAGGAAGUGACCACUUUAGACCCAGACAGUAUAGUUCCUAGGUCUCUGAGGUUUCCUAAUGUUUUGUCCUGAGACACUAGAAAGAACCUUGAAGAGCCAAUGUUAUUAAUCUCAAAGAUCCAUGGGAAGGCUAAUUCUAGAGGCAGAGGUCAGCACAAGAACCCAUGGGACUGUGGAAUACACCAAGUAGGCCUUAACACGCACCCCAAAAUGAAAUACAGGGAAAAGCCUGAACUUAGUGCAAAACCUAGUACAAAGUACAAAGUACAAAACCCUAAAGCUAAGGAGUUGAGUAAAUCAAAGGAAAUACUAAACAGUAUUUUUUUAAUUACUGAAAAUAUAAAGAUCUUCCAAAAGGAGGAACAACUAUACCUGCAUGCAAAGUCUCUAAGUAAAACAACAACAACAACAACAACAACAACAAAAAACCAAUCUGGAUCUUC